rnacentral:rRNA from 1 species
GACGAACGCUGGCGGCGUGCUUAACACAUGCAAGUCGAACGGAAAGGCCCUGCUUUUGUGGGGUUCUCGAGUGGCGAACGGGUGAGUAACACGUGAGUAACCUGCCCUUGACUUUGGGAUAACUUCAGGAAACUGGGUCUAAUACCGGAUAGGAGCUCCUGCUGCAUGGUGGGGGUUGAAAAGUUUCGGCGGUUGGGGAUGGACUCGCGGCUUAUCAGCUUGUUGGUGGGGUAGUGGCUUACCAAGGCUUUGACGGGUAGCCGGCCUGAGAGGGUGACCGGCCACAUUGGGACUGAGAUACGGCCCAGACUACUACGGGAGGCAGCAGUGGGGAAUAUUGCACAAUGGGCGGAAGCCUGAUGCAGCAACGCCGCGUGCGGGAUGACGGCCUUCGGGUUGUAAACCGCUUUCGCCUGUGACGAAGCGUGAGUGACGGUAAUGGGUAAAGAAGCACCGGCUAACUACGUG